AGUGAACGCUGGCGGCAGGCCUAAUACAUGCAAGUCGAACGGCAGCACGGCAGAGCUUGCUCUGUGGGUGGCGAGUGGCGGACGGGUGAGGAAUACAUGGGAAUCUGCCCAGUCGUGGGGGAUAACGUAGGGAAACUUACGCUAAUACCGCAUGCGCCCUUCGGGGGAAAGCCGGGGACCUUCGGGCCUGGCGCGAUUGGAUGAGCCCAUGUCGGAUUAGCUAGUUGGCGGGGUAAUGGCCCACCAAGGCGACGAUCCGUAGCUGGUCUGAGAGGAUGAUCAGCCACACUGGAACUGAGACACGGUCCAGACUCCUACGGGAGGCAGCAGUAGGGAAUAUUGGGCAAUGGGCGCAAGCCUGAUCCAGCCAUGCCGCGUGAGUGAAGAAGGCCCUCGGGUUGUAAAGCUCUUUUGUCCGGAAAGAAAAGCGCCGGGUUAAUACCCUGGUGUCCUGACGGUACCGGAAGAAUAAGCACCGGCUAACUUCGUGCCAGCAGCCGC
rnacentral:rRNA from 1 species